UACGUAGGGGGCUAGCGUUGUCCGGAUUUAUUGGGCGUAAAGAGCGUGUAGGCGGCCAUGUAGGUCGGACGUGAAAUCCCUCGGCUUAACCGGGGAACUGCGUCCGAUACUGGAGGGCUUGAGUGUGGGAGAGGGAUGCGGAAUUCAGGUGUAGCGGUGAAAUGCGUAGAUAUCUGGAGGAACACCGGUGGCGAAGGCGGCAUCCUGGACCAUGACUGACGCUGAGGAGCGAAAGCCAGGGGAAGCAAAGCGGGAUUAAGAAACCC
rnacentral:rRNA from 1 species